UCCGUCGGGCAGCCCCGGCCGCGGCCGCGGGAGAGACAGAGGAGGAGGCGCGAGGAGGAGGGCAGGAAGCCGUUGCCGGGGCGGCGCGCGGCUGGGGCGGGCGCUGUGCGGGUGGCAGCCCGUUGGAACGCGUGCCGUUGCCAGCGGCUUGCUUGCCGUGACGCCGCUAAGCACGGCUUUGUGCCGCACCCGGAGCCGAGCCGACGCCGCGCUGCCAGAUAUAACACAGUUGAACAGAGAGAGCUUGUGAAACAAGAGAUCUUGAAGGCAAAGCACAAGGGCAGGGAGAAGCUCAGCCUCGGAUAGGUGUACAUGGCCGCAGCCAGCAGGCGGGCAAGAAGAGGCUAGCAGAGACACAGGCCAAAGAGCAGCGAGACCACCUCAGCUACGGAGCAGCCAGAGCGCCUGAAAAUGCGACAAGCACCAGGUACCACAGACACGCACUCAGGGGAGAGACCCCUUCACCAGGGGCUGUUCCCCACGCACGGGGUCCCCUCCCCAGGUGUCACAGUUUUAUGACUUUUGGCUAUCAGUAUUCCACACCAUAACAUCAUGUAAUGCACUGGGGGUUUCACUUUUAAUGCUCAGUUCUGAAUAUUUGUCUGACGGAGAAGAACUACAUUUCCCAAGGAGGCUUUGCGGUCAGCGAGGAGAUAUAACUGUGUGCAAGGUCACCUGAUCUUUCUUCUUUGCCUGCUCUAUUCCAUCUGCACUUCUCCAUUUGCAAUUUGCCGUCUGCUGUUAUCCAUCUGCUCAACUGAACUGGACCUACACCUCAGCGUUGUGACAAGACCUACCUACCUGACAAACUCUCUAUCUCUCUCACUGUAUUUUGCUGAUUGCUAAACGACAUUGCUCGACGUCGGAUUGUUGCUGCUGUUUUCAAUUGCUUUGGAGUUGAUGCAGGUGAAGAAGAGCAUAGAAAGAAGAAGGAUGAGGUGACCUUGCAUACAGUUAUAUCUCCUUGCUGACCGCAUAGCCACCUGGGGAAAAGUAGUUCUCCUCUGUCGGACAAAUAUUUGGAACUGAGCAUUACAAAUAAAACCCCCAGUGCAUUA